UACGUAGGGGGCAAGCGUUGUCCGGAAUCAUUGGGCGUAAAGCGCGUGUAGGCGGCCUUGUAAGUCCGUUCUGAAAGCCCGGGGCUCAACCCCGGGAGGCGGAUGGAUACUGCAAGGCUCGAGUACGGAAGAGGCGAGUGGAAUUCCCGGUGUAGCGGUGAAAUGCGCAGAUAUCGGGAGGAACACCAAUGGCGAAGGCAGCUCGCUGGGACGUUACUGACGCUGAGACGCGAAAGCGUGGGGAGCGAACAGG
rnacentral:rRNA from 1 species